rnacentral:misc_RNA from 1 species
GAUGAAGAACGCAGCGAAAUGCGAUACGUAAUGUGAAUUGAAGAAUUCAGUGAAUCAUCGAGUCUUUGAACGCACAUUGCGCCCCCUGGUAUUCCGGGGGGCAUGCCUGUCCGAGCGUCAUUGCUGCCCUCAAGCACGGCUUGUGUGUUGGGCCUCCGUCCUCCUCCCGGGGGACGGGCCCGAAAGGCAGCGGCGGCACCGCGUCCGGUCCUCGAGCGUAUGGGGCUUCGUCACCCGCUCUUGUAGGCCCGGCCGGCGCUUGCCUACACAUCAAUCUUUUUUCCAGGUUGACCUCGGAUCAGGUAGGGAUACCCGCUGAACUUAAGCAUAUCAAUAAGCGGAGGA